rnacentral:tRNA from 1 species
GGCGCCGUAGGCAAAUGGUAAGUCGCGGGUGCUGCCACACCCGAGAUCCUCGGUUCGACUCCGGGCGGCGCCU